GCCUCGGUGGUUUAGUGGUCAAGACACUCGCCUGGGAAAUGGAAGGGCUUGGGUUUGAUCCCCAUCGAGGUA
rfam:Asian citrus Psyllid, Diaphorina citri - Florida Strain, whole genome shotgun sequence.